UCUUGACCACUGCACUGCAUGUUGUCCCAGGGCAUCACAAUCCUCAUGGAAAUGCACAAUGUUCUUCAGUGGCUGGUGCUGAGAAAACAUCUUUAUUAUGUUAAGGGGAAAAAAAAUCAAGCUGGAUUACUACAUCCCUACAUUAUGUUAUAAACCACAAAGUAGAAAGUAAAUAGAUUAAAGACCAAAGUAUGAAAGAAAUUGGAGGGGUUAAUGAGAGGAAUUACCAACAAAGCAACAUUGAAGUGAUGGAAAACUUCAAAGAAAGUGCUACUUGGUGUUCCUAAGAGUCAGAAAAAGAAUGGCUGGGUAGAGUCAUUUCUAAUCAUUAAAGCUUACUAAUCACAGAUUCUAUGAGCCACUCUGGGGGCUUCAGAUUCCACAGGCCUAGGGAGGACCCAGACAUUUUUUCUAAUUUUAAAGCAAGCUGUGCCACCGACUGUAUUUCUCAAGAUUUGAGGACUCAAAGUUCUGAAAGUUCAGAGGAAAAAAUGAUACGGUCCCAUGACCAGAGUCUAAGACAAAAAGAUGGCUUAAGGGUGAAGUGAGGAGAUGCCCAAUAAUGAAACGUUGACAAUAAAAACUGAAAAUUUAAUAUGGAUGAGUUAAAAUACAGUGGAGGAUGUGGGGAUAUAAAUAAUGGCAUGUGGCUGAUGGCACAGGAAGGAUACAACAGAGGAGAAAAAGCACACUAUCAGAAACCGAUACAAAGAGGAUUGGCUUAAGAACGGUGUAAGGAGGGGUUAAAUCUGAGAAUGAGCUCAAGCUUGAGAAAAAUGCAGAGGACAAUAAAAGGAAUUGUUAACGUA